GCCAGGCGUGGUGGCUCACGCCUGUAAUCCUAGCACUUUGGGAGGCUGAGGCGGGUGGAUCACCUGAGGUCAGGAGUUCAAGACCAGCCUGGCCAUCAUGGUGAAACCCCGUCUUUA
rnacentral:SRP_RNA from 1 species